GAAACAACUCUCAGCAACGGCUAUCUUG
rnacentral:rRNA from 4 species